rnacentral:rRNA from 1 species
CCUACGGGAGGCUGCAGUGAGGAAUAUUGGUCAAUGGGCGCGAGCCUGAACCAGCCAAGUAGCGUGAAGGAUGACUGCCCUACGGGUUGUAAACUUCUUUUAUAUGGGAAUAAAACGUUCCACGUGUGGGCUUUUGUAUGUACCCUAUGAAUAAGGAUCGGCUAACUCCGUUCCAGCAGCCGCCGUAAUACGGAGGAUCCGGGCGUUAUCCGGAUUUUUUGGGUUUAAAGGGAUCGUAGGUGGAUUGUUAAGUCAGUUGUGAAAGUUUGCGGCUCAACCGUCAAAGUGCAGUUGAAACUGGCAGUCUUGAGUGCAGUAGAGGUAGGCGGAAGUCGUGGUGUAGCGGUGAAAUGCUUAGAUAUCACGAAGAACUCCGAUUGCGAAGGCAGUUCACUGGACUGCAACUGACACUGAGGCUCGAAAGUGUGGGUAUCGAACAGGAUUAGAUACCCCAGUAGUC